GAAGCGUUCUCGGAUUACUGGGCGUAAGCGUGCGUAGGUGGUCGUUUAAGUCCGUUGUGAAAGCCUUGGGAUCGAGCUGGGAACUGCAGUGGAUACUGGGCGACUACAUUGAGGUAAAAGGA
rnacentral:rRNA from 1 species